AAGCCCCAAGAGAAGUAGCAAAGCAAGGGAGAGUGUGGGAACACUAUAGAGUGAAGGUUGUGCUUCGAGGGUCCGGGCGACAGAAAGUGAAGCCGAAGAAGAAACGACUCCACGCCAGCUUUAAGAACAAUUGAGGUUGAGCAGGCGAUGGAAUGGAUCGGUGUUGAGCGGAUUUCCCUUUUGAUGUUUAUGUAAUGAAACCUUGAGUAUGCAUCUCCAUAUGCAUAACUCACACGUUUUUUCGCUGCAAACACUCUGACUUAUUUAUCAUUUCUACUUGAACUUAUUACUACUUCAUUUUAAUUAACUUUCAGUUGGGGUCUAGUCGUUAUGGCAGACUCAUUUGUGAAUUACCCAAGUGGUUAUAUAUAUAUACCACUAGUUUGUUAUUAA